GACGAACGCUGGCGGCGUGCCUAACACAUGCAAGUCAACUUGACUGAAGGAGCAAUCUGACAGUAGAGUGGCGCAAGGGUGCGUAACGCGUAAGUAACUUGCCCAAGGUAAGGAAUAACGUCGAGAAAUCGGCGCUAAUACCUCAUAAUGCAGCGGAUCCGCAUGGAUAUGUUGUUAAAGGUUACCGCCUUGGAUAGGCUUGCGUCUGAUUAGUUAGUUGGUGUGGUAACGGCACACCAAGGCUACGAUCAGUAACUGGUCUGAGAGGAUGAUCAGUCACACUGGAACUGAGACACGGUCCAGACUCCUACGGGAGGCAGCAGUGAGGAAUAUUGGGCAAUGCUCGAAAGAGUGACCCAGCAACGCCGCGUGGAGGAUGAAGGUAUUCUAUAUCGUAAACUCCUGUGAGAGCAGACGAAAGACAGAUUAUUAAUCUGGAUGACUGUAUGCUCAGAGGAAGCCCCGGCUAACUACGU
rnacentral:rRNA from 1 species